CCUACGGGAGGCUGCAGUGAGGAAUAUUGGACAAUGGGCGCAAGCCUGAUCCAGCCAUGCCGCGUGCAGGAUGACGGUCCUAUGGAUUGUAAACUGCUUUUGCACAGGAAGAAACAACGCUACGUGUAGCGUCUUGACGGUACUGUGAGAAUAAGGAUCGGCUAACUCCGUGCCAGCAGCCGCGGUAAUACGGAGGAUCCAAGCGUUAUCCGGAAUCAUUGGGUUUAAAGGGUCCGUAGGCGGUUUAGUAAGUCAGUGGUGAAAGCCCAUCGCUCAACGGUGGAACGGCCAUUGAUACUGCUAGACUUGAAUUAUUAGGAAGUAACUAGAAUAUGUAGUGUAGCGGUGAAAUGCUUAGAGAUUACAUGGAAUACCAAUUGCGAAGGCAGGUUACUACUAAUGGAUUGACGCUGAUGGACGAAAGCGUGGGUAGCGAACAGGAUUAGAUACCCCUGUAGUC
rnacentral:rRNA from 1 species